UGGGAGGUCGUUCAACGGUCGGACCCCGGAUUGUUACUCCGGUGAUGGCGGUUCGAAUCCGCCCCUCCCAGCCA
rnacentral:tRNA from 1 species